GAUGAACGCUGGCGGCGUGCUUAACACAUGCAAGUCGAACGGGAUCCCAGGAGCUUGCUCCUGGGUGAGAGUGGCGAACGGGUGAGUAAUGCGUGACCGACCUGCCCCAUACACCGGAAUAGCUCCUGGAAACGGGUGGUAAUGCCGGAUGCUCCAGUUGGAUGCAUGUCCUUCUGGGAAAGAUUCAUCGGUAUGGGAUGGGGUCGCGUCCUAUCAGCUUGAUGGCGGGGUAACGGCCCACCAUGGCUUCGACGGGUAGCCGGCCUGAGAGGGCGACCGGCCACAUUGGGACUGAGAUACGGCCCAGACUCCUACGGGAGGCAGCAGUGGGGAAUAUUGCACAAUGGGCGCAAGCCUGAUGCAGCGACGCCGCGUGCGGGAUGACGGCCUUCGGGUUGUAAACCGCUUUUGACUGGGAGCACGCCCUUCGGGGUGAGUGUACCUUUCGAAUAAGCACCGG
rnacentral:rRNA from 1 species